AUGUCCUCGAUUUCCUCCUUGAUGUGUUUCACUUCUUUGGAGGGGAUUUUGGAUCCAAACUUUAAAAGCAUUUCCUUCAUCUCGGAGGAAGAGAUCUUUUUGUAUGCGGUUUUUUUGUCGAACUUGGUUAAGAUCUACUCCACUUUUUGGUCCAUAGAAAAGUUUUUUCUUCGUCAAAAUGAGAGAGAACAAAAAUUUAUGUAUUUGUUACUACUUAUAUUUUGGAUUUAUGGUGCGUGUUGUUGUUGGUGUUAG